GAAUACCGCAUUAAAUGUCAUACAGAUUCUACUUCAGCAACAUACAAAAUCAUAAAGGGAAUGAGAACAGAAAUAGAACAAAUAUUAACAAAUAAAACUGGUUUGCUGGAUCAGAAUGAAUCAUUAAUAGAUAUUAAGAGAGAAAUAGCUGAACUACAAG